GAUGAACGCUGGCGGCGUGCCUAAUACAUGCAAGUCGAGCGAACGGACGAGAAGCUUGCUUCUCUGAUGUUAGCGGCGGACGGGUGAGUAACACGUGGAUAACCUACCUAUAAGACUGGGAUAACUUCGGGAAACCGGAGCUAAUACCGGAUAAUAUUUUGAACCGCAUGGUUCAAAAGUGAAAGACGGUCUUGCUGUCACUUAUAGAUGGAUUCGCGCUGCAUUAGCUAGUUGGUAAGGUAACGGCUUACCAAGGCAACGAUGCAUAGCCGACCUCGGAGGGUGUGCGGCCACACUGGAACUGAGACACGGUCCAGACUCCUACGGGAGGCAGCAGUAGGGAAUCUUCCGCAAUGGGCGAAAGCCUGACGGAGCAAAGCCGCGUGAGUGAUGAAGGUCUUCGGAUCGUAAAACUCUGUUAUUAGGGAAGAACAUAUGUGUAAGUAACUGUGCACAUCUUGACGGUACCUAAUCAGAAAGCCACGGCUAACUACGUG
rnacentral:rRNA from 1 species